CCUACGGGGGGCAGCAGUAGGGAAUUUUCGGCAAUGGGGGGAACCCUGACCGAGCCGCGUGAAGGAAGAAGGCGCCAGGCGUCGUAAACUUCUUUUGUCGGGGAACAAAGGGCGCCACGCGUGGCGUUGUGAGUGUACCCGAAGAAAAAGCAUCGGCUAACUCCGUGCCAGCAGCCGCGGUAAUACGUAGGAUGCGAGCGUUAUCCGGAUUUAUUGGGUUUAAAGGGUGCGUAGGCGGUCCGGAAAGGAAGCGGUAAAAGCCCGGGGCUCAACCCCGGCGAGCCGUUGAAACUGUCGGACUAGAGACGGCGAGAAGUACGCGGAAUGCGCGGUGUAGCGGUGAAAUGCAUAGAUAUCGCGCAGAACUCCGAUUGCGAAGGCAGCGUACCGGCGCCGGACUGACGCUGAGGCACGAAAGCGUGGGUAUCGAACAGGAUUAGAUACCCUAGUAGUC
rnacentral:rRNA from 1 species